GUUGACUCAUGAUACUUUCAUUUCUACACAGGUCUGCAGAGAAUGCGGUUUGUUAGGAUAUUACAACCAUAAGCUGAAAACUGGCAUUUGUUCAUCUUGUAAAAAUGGAGAUAAGAUUUCUACCAUGAAGCUACCAUAUGCAUGCAAGCUCUUGAUUCAGGAACUCCAAUCAAUGAAUAUUGUUCCUCGCUUGAAAUUGGCAGAAGCGUAAAGUCUUUU